rnacentral:lncRNA from 1 species
AAAUAAAUAAAAUCGUAUUUAAUGGGAGAUACAGUUCUACUAUAUUUUUAAAAAUUUCAAAUGCAAUGUAUUUAGUAGAGAAUCAUAUAUUAAAGUCAGUAAUAUUGAAUACGUGAAAGUGAAGUCGCUCAGUCAUGUCCAACUCUUUGCAACCCCAUGGACUGUAGCCUAACAGGCUUCUGUAUUCGAGAGUAAAUAUCACAAAGUAUUUGCGUGUGUAGUGAAGGCAAGAGAGACAGAGAACUGAAGAUACUGAGACAUAAGUAGGAAAUUAGUUAGAUGUAUCAUAUGCAAAAUGUUAGGAAUUUAACGGUUGAGUGAAAAUGAAUUUAUUUAUUUAUUUAUUUUUUUACUGUGUAUAAAAUAAUUUACUUGCGUCUCCUUGCCAAGGUUUGAUAUGUUCUCCUACCAUCACUGAAGUCUAGCCUAUAGGAGACAUCAUAUCCCAGAAUGCCAAGCCUGCCUGAAAAUUCAAAGCAAGCAAACAAACCAAAAACCCAAACCACAGCAAAUACCAGAGAUGCUAUUAAUCACUUGGUAUUAUCUUUAAUUACAAAGACCUUUCCAAUCACAUCACAUAGCGAUUGUUUUAUCCACUGCUCUGUUUGGCUGCCAAUCUCUUAUCUCUCUCCUCAGCAAUGGUAAGGCGAAUACCCUUUCCACGGGGAAGAGAGAUCCAUGGUUUGUUGCCAAAGCUGUUGCCGUUUGCAUCUUUCACAUGAACUACAUCAAAAGAACCUGGAUGUCUCUUUCGGUUUGUAAUCACACCAAUUCUUCCCAGGUUAGCACCUCCAGUCACCAUGCACAGGUUACCAGUGUCAAAUUUGAUGAAAUCAGUAAUCUUGCCAGUCUCCAAGUCAAUCUGAAUGGUAUCAUUCACCUUGAUGAGGGGAUCAGGGUAACGGAUGGUACGAGCAUCAUGGGUUACCAGAUGAGGGAUUCCUUUUGUCCCCACAAAUAUCUUUCUUACUUUGCACAAUUUAUACUUGGCCUCCUCAGGUGUAAUACGAUGAACAGCAAAACGACCCUUGGUGUCAUAGAUCAAACGAAAAUUCUCUCCAGUCUUAUCAAUGCUGAUGAAACGCUGCAUGCAAAUCUUCUUUACUUCAUCUCCAGUUAAGGCAUACUUAAGUCUAUUCCUUAGGAAAAUGAUUAGGGGGAGACAUUCCCUUAGCUUGUGGGGGCCGGUAGAUGGACGAGGGGCAAACACACCAGUCAGUUUAUCCAGCAUCCAAUGUUUUGGAGCUGCUACGCGUUUCAGGUGCUUCUUGGGACCCCGAGCCAUGGCUGCGCUACGCACGAAAAGAGCGAAAAUGAAUUUAAAAAAUAUGAACGCUAUUGGAAAAAGAGAACUAAAACUCUACUUCAUGUCAUUAGGGUAAAUACAUAUAUUUAUGUGCUUGUAUAUAAACACAAAAAUUAAAACCUAUUAGAUUUAAUAUAUAAAAGUACUGGCUUUUAAAACACGGAACAUGGCACAGACCUAUUAACAAUUAAAAAAAAGGGAAUGAUUCAAUGUUUUAAGUGGAUUUACAGUUUGCAAAGUUGUUUAAGUCAUAGGUGGUGCUUUAGAGAACAAAAUAAUAAAACCGUAGGAGAAAACAGUCAACAUCUGGUAAUUACUGAAAUAUUUUAAAUGUUAUGGAAUCUACCAAACAUCUGAAAAAUUGAAAAGGAUGGAGUAACUGUGUGAAUCCAUCACAACCAUCAACAGAACCCAUUCACAGAGAAACUCAUUUUAUGUAUAAUCCUACCCUGUCACC